rnacentral:rRNA from 1 species
GGUCCUGACGUGCAAAUCGGUCGUCUGACAUUAGUAUAGGGGCGAAAGACUAAUCGAACCAUCUAGUAGCUGGUUCCGGCCGAAGUUUCCCCCAGGAUAGCUGAAACUAUUAUACAGAUACAUCCGGUAAAGCUAAUGUUUAGAGGAAUAGGGGAUAAUAUAUCCUUUAUCUAUUUACAAACUAUAAAUGGGUGUGAUAUUAUGAUUACUUAAUUUGAAUCAUAAUUUCGAUUGUAUAGUUUCAAGUGGGCCAUUUUUGGUAAGCAGAACUGGCGACGUGGGAUGAACCAAAAGUAUUGUUAAAGUGCCUAAAUUUUUGCUCAUCAGACCCCAUAAAAAGUGUUGUUUGAUAUUGACAGCAGGGCGGUGGCCAUGGAAGUCGGAAUCCGCUAAG